AUUGAACGCUGGCGGCAUGCUUUACACAUGCAAGUCGAACGGUAACAGGCCGCAAGGUGCUGACGAGUGGCGAACGGGUGAGUAAUGCAUCGGAACGUGCCCAGUCGUGGGGGAUAACGCAGCGAAAGCUGCGCUAAUACCGCAUACAAUCUACGGAUGAAAGCGGGGGACUCGCAAGAGCCUCGCGCGACUGGAGCGGCCGAUGUCAGAUUAGGUAGUUGGUGGGGUAAAGGCUCACCAAGCCGACGAUCUGUAGCUGGUCUGAGAGGACGACCAGCCACACUGGACUGAGACACGGCCCAGACUCCUACGGGAGGCAGCAGUGGGGAAGUUUGGACAAUGGGCGCAAGCCUGAUCCAGCAAUGCCGCGGGCAGGAAGAAGGCCUUCGGGUUGUAAACUGCUUUUGUACGGAACGAAACGGUCCUGGUUAAUACCUGGGGCUAAUGACGGUACCGUAAGAAUAAGCACCGGCUAACUACGUGCCAGCAGCCGCCGUAACAC
rnacentral:rRNA from 1 species